AACGAACGCUGGCGGCAGGCCUAACACAUGCAAGUCGAGCGCGCCUUCGGGUGCGCGGCGGACGGGUGAGUAACGCGUGGGAAUAUGCCCUUCUCUACGGAAUAGUCCUGGGAAACUGGGGGUAAUACCGUAUACGCCCUUUGGGGGAAAGAUUUAUCGGGGAAGGAUUAGCCCGCGUUGGAUUAGGUAGUUGGUGGGGUAAUGGCCUACCAAGCCGACGAUCCAUAGCUGGUUUGAGAGGAUGAUCAGCCACACUGGGACUGAGACACGGCCCAGACUCCUACGGGAGGCAGCAGUGGGGAAUCUUAGACAAUGGGGGCAACCCUGAUCGAGCCAUGCCGCGUGAGUGAUGAAGGCCUUAGGGUUGUAAAGCUCUUUCAGCUGGGAAGAUAAUGACGGUACCAGCAGAAGAAGCCCCGGCUAACUCCGUG
rnacentral:rRNA from 1 species